rnacentral:rRNA from 1 species
GGUAAGCCGUUGCCUUCGACUGGCGCACGGGUGAGCACGCGUACCUAUCUGGCUUGUAUUGAGGGAUACCCCAUAGAAAUUUGGAUUACUACCUCGUAUUAUAUGGAUUUCUCAUGAGGCUCAUAUUAGAGGUUGGGGUACAAGAUGAGCAUGCGUUCUAUGAGCGCGGUGGUAAGGUAACGGCUUACCAUGGCUACGAUAGAUAGGGGCCCUGAGAGGGGGAUCCCCCACACUGGUACUGAGACACGGACCAGACUCAUACGGGAGGCAGCAGUGAGGAAUAUUGGACAAUGGGCGAGAGCCUGAUCCAGCCAUGCCGCGUGCAGGAUGACGGCCCUAUGGGUUGUAAACUGCUUUUAUACAGGAAGAAACACCCCGACGUGUCGGGACUUGACGGUACUGUAAGAAUAAGGAUCGGCUAACUCCGUGCCAGCAGCCGCGGUAAUACGGAGGAUCCAAGCGUUAUCCGGAAUCAUUGGGUUUAAAGGGUCCGUAGGUGGACAAUUAAGUCAGAGGUGAAAUCCUGCAGCUCAACUGUAGAAUUGCCUUUGAUACUGGUUGUCUUGAGUUAUUAUGAAGUAGUUAGAAUAUGUAGUGUAGCGGUGAAAUGCAUAGAUAUUACAUAGAAUACCAAUUGCGAAGGCAGAUUACUAAUAAUGAACUGACACUGAUGGACGAAAGCGUGGGGAGCGAACAGGAUUAGAUACCCUGGUAGUCCACGCCGUAAACGAUGGUUACUAGUUGUUCGGAUUUCGGUCUGAGUGACUAAG